UGUUAUCAUAAUACAGUCGUAUCUGAAACAGAUACAUACUUUUUCUAAUGGUGCUUUUUUUGUCAUCCAUGUACUGAUCCACCCCUACGAUUCAAUGCAUGUAGUUCUGGAUGCUAAUUAUAGCAUUCUACCAGCACCACUAAUUUAGGAUCGUCCAUGUGAGUCAACAACAUUUCAUUCCCCUGGCUGCAGUAACUGACCCAUGGAUAGUGUGUGAUGUAACGCAGACCAAUCAGGAUCUUACUUUAUACUGUGCAUACUAAUACUACAACCCACCACCUGAUACCUUCAGAGAGAGUUGAAAGUGCACUGUUGCUUAGCUGGAGUGCUGCAGCCCUAGGACUGCCCACAGCCAUAUUCCAGCCCCAGGGUACAAAGCUUUGUGUGAAAGAGAAUAAUAUGGUUGGUACCCAGUGUAGUAGGAACAGGAAUGACGAAUAAUUGGAUAGAAGCUAAAACACUCUCACAUCGCCAGAUCUUCCUGUUUCUUAAAACCAACAUCCCUCCUGUCUUUUUGCGUUAACGAAUGGAUAGUUACAAUCAUCCACAUUUCUUUUUCACUAACAUUAGUUUGAAUUGAAAAAAACAUUGUGAAGGCAUAUUAUAUGGAAGGUAAGUCGUUGUUUCGGAAGAAAUUGUGUGUUUUGAUUUUUACUGGAGUAAAUACGUACCAGGACUAAACAAUUACAGUAAAUACAAUACAACGUCAUUAUCACACCCAUGCAAUAUUACUUGUAAAAAAAAUCUAAUUUGGUGUCUUUUAUUGACUGGAAAUAAAAAUAGGGAGGCAAACAAACAAACCCAAAAAGAAGCACUACUCUCUCUUACCCAUAAAAUCAAUGUGUUUACCUCUGAACAGAUGGAGUUGAAUUGAGUCUGUUGGACCUUUGACAAGACUGAGAAUCUUGAGGGCUGAGUCAGCGCUCAUUUCAUAAAUCUGUUCUGGAGUGUGGCAGCCUGAUUUGUACCAUAUUCUGAUUUGAUCUGUGUAAAUAUGCUCACCGCCACUGAUUUCAAGUUACCAGCCACUUCACAGAGCUCCUGAAUGUGAAACGAUGGGCUCCAGCACACGACUGGCAGGUGCAGCGUCUCC
rnacentral:lncRNA from 1 species